CUUGUUCCCUGACUCAAGCCAGUAUGCCUACCAGUUUGCCUUGUCGACCAGCUUGCCUGACGUUGUUCUCUUCUGCGAUCUGCAAUUCUCAAGCGACAGCACGGGCUUCUGCAAAACAGGGUUGACCCUUGACAACUCGACGACAGUCUCAGAGAUCUUCCCCAAGAUGGAAAAGACAUACAAGGUGCAGGGAGAAGAUGUCCAUGGCUGGUUCUCUCUAGAUUUCACCGCGGACCAGCUGAUUCAGAACGUCACGUUAAUCCAGAACAUCUUUUCUCGCCCAAGCACAUUUGAUGGCUCCAUGGGAAUGUACACGCUUGAUGAUAUUGUUGAGCUCCGCCCCCCUCAAAUAUGGCUUAAUGUACAGUACAAUUCAUUCUUUCUGGAGCACAAACUAAGUACUGAAGAUUAUAUAUUAGGACUACCAAAAGAAUUUAGCCUCACUUACAUCUCCUCGACAGAGAUUAUUUCUUGAAAAGCCUGGGUGGAAAACUCAAGAAAAGCAAGACGAAACUGGCCUUCCGGUUCCUCAAUGAAGAUGUCAUUGAGCCUUCAACCAAGAAGACAUAUGGGGAGCUCCUGAAAGACCUGAAAUCCAUCAAGGAUUUUGCGGUCGGGAUUCUUGUCCCCAAGACCUACAUCUGGCCACUGAACAAAGAUCAGUACCUGUCACCAUCCACAAGUUUGGUCAAAGAUGCGCAUGCCCUGGGGCUCGAAGUCUAUGCGUCUGGAUUUGCCAAUGAUAUCGCUACAAGUUACAACUACAGCUAUGAUCCCAGUGCAGAGUAGUUGCAGUUCAUAGACAAUCCAGACUUCUCUGUCGACGGUGUGCUCACGGACUUCCCGCCCACUGCAUCAGGAGCUAUUGCUUGCUUGGCUCAUUCUAAGGGCAAUCCUCUAGCACCUCCUGGAAAGGACACCAGGCCGCUGAUCAUCACCCACAAUGGGGCUGGCGGUGUCUUUGCUGGGAGCACAGAUCUUGCCUACCAGGAGGCGAUCAAAGAUGCCGCCGACAUCAUAGAUUGCUCGGUUCAGAUGUCAAAAGACGGAGUGGCCUUCUGCAUGCACUCUGCCGAUC